UACAGAGGGUGCGAGCGUUAAUCGGAAUUACUGGGCGUAAAGCGCGCGUAGGCGGCUUUGCAAGCCGGAUGUGAAAUCCCCGGGCUUAACCUGGGAACUGCAUUCGGGACUGCAUUGCUAGAGUAUGGGAGAGGGAAGUGGAAUUUCCGGUGGAGCGGUGAAAUGCGUUGAUAUCGGAAGGAACGCCGGUGGCGAAAGCGACGUACUGGACCUCUUCUGACGCUGAGGCGCGAAAGCUAGGGGAGCAAACGGG
rnacentral:rRNA from 1 species